rnacentral:rRNA from 1 species
UUGAAAGGGAAACGAUUGAAGUCAGUCGUACCUGUGGGUAAUCAGCCUUUUGGGUGUGAUUAUGUGGAGUGCGAAGAGUUAAACGCCUUUAUGCCUGCAUAUUCGUGCACUUUGGGUGUAUUUACCCGUGUGGUAAGUUAACAUCAAUUUUGGUCGUCAUAGAAUGGCUGGAGGAAUGUAGCUUCGAUCUCGUAUUGAAGUGUUAUAGCCUUCGGUAGAUGUGGUGAUCGGGAUUGAGGAUUGCAACGAAUCCUUCGGGGCUACCUGUCUGAUCUCUGAUCGUUGCUCUGGUGCCGAAAGCUUGCUUACGGUUAUCAAAGUCGAUGGUCAAUAGGUUAGAACGGGUUAAAUUCGUUAAGGAUGUUGACGUA